ensembl:lncRNA
UCAGCUCAAAUCCCACCUUUCCCAGAAGCCCUUCCAGAUCUCCCGGUUGAAAUCCAUCUCUUCUUCCGUUAUGAAUGCUCAAGGCCCCCACAGCAUUUUGAACUGAGAUCUGUAUGGACCUAUGGAAAUCUGCAUCAACCCUAUGGAGCGUAGCCUGCCAGCCUCUUAUGUCUGUGGGAUUUCCCAGGCAGGAACACUGGGCUUCAUUGGAAAUGACUUCGAGGUAAAACCUGGGACUGACCCUUUCACCCCGUGUGACGAAGCCCUUCAGGAGUCGAAGGGAGAGUCUCCCCAGCAGUUUGUGGCAAAAAGCACAUAAUAGCUAUCAACGUUUGAGGAAACCGGAAGAUCUGAGACAUCACAAGCAUUUGAAUUUCAAUUUCUCCAUCUCCGGACUUAUGAUGCAAUAAAAUAAAGCCUCCCACUGUAGUCCAGUCCACAGCAAAGUCAAGCCCCAAAUGGCUGAAUGAAGAUCUGAAAGGCUUGGAAAAAAAUAAAUGAACUGCCUGCUUUUCAUUAUGCUUCCCUCUCAGGAUGGAGAUACAUCUGGUUUUCUGAUUACACUUUACCAUAGUAAAGAAAAUUCUAGCCUAGCAGGUCAAACCAGCUGAUGACUAGCCAGCUCCAAUUACUGACCUGACCUGCUUCUAACCUCAGAGGAGGAGGGAAGGAGAAAGCCCUUUUCUCUCAUUCUUAGAAACUGAAACAUGGGCAUAGAACGUUGUGGGGUUUGUUCCUUGAUUAAUUAAAGUUGCUUAUUCAAA